rnacentral:rRNA from 1 species
GGUGGUGCAGGGUUGUCGUCAGCUCGUGUCUUGAGAUGUUGGGUUAAGUCCCGCAACGAGCGCAACCCUCGUUCCAUGUUGCCAGCACUUAGUGGUGGGGACUCAUGGGAGACUGCCGGGGUCAUCUCGGAGUAAGGUGGGGACGACGUCAAAUCAUCAUGCCCCUUAUGUCUUGGGCUUCACGCAUGCUACAAUGGCCGGUACAAUGGGUUGCGAUACUGUGAGGUGGAGCUAAUCCCAAAAAGCCGGUCUCAGUUCGGAUUGGGGUCUGCAACUCGACCCCAUGAAGUCGGAGUCGCUAGUAAUCGCAGAUCAGCCAACGCUGCGGUGAAUACGUUUCCCGGGCCUUGUACACACCGCCCGUCAAGUCACGAAAGUUGGUAACACCCGAAGCCGGUGGCUUAACCCUUGUGGGGGGAGCCGUCGAAGGUGGGACUGGCGAUUGGGACU